rnacentral:rRNA from 1 species
UACAGAGGGGGCAAGCGUUGUUCGGAAUUACUGGGCGUAAAGGGCGCGUAGGCGGCCGCCUAAGUCAGACGUGAAAUCCCUCGGCUCAACCGGGGAACUGCGUCUGAUACUGGGUGGCUUGAAUCCGGGAGAGGGAUGCGGAAUUCCAGGUGUAGCGGUGAAAUGCGUAGAUAUCUGGAGGAACACCGGUGGCGAAGGCGGCAUCCUGGACCGGCAUUGACGCUGAGGCGCGAAAGCCAGGAGAGCAAACGGG